rnacentral:ncRNA from 1 species
CGCUUAUAGAGAAAGAUGGAGGGAUUAGACCCUGCGAAAUCUUAGCAACCUGUGCCAACAAGGUGCUGCAUUCUACUCAAACACUUCAAACACGUUUGGGAAAGAUAAGCG